UACAAUGGCAUAAGGGCGGUCGGCUAAUCUCCCGGAAGGGAGGUGAGGCCAAUGGAGGUAUACCAAGCACUGACGCUGAUGAUUUCAUUUGCGGCUUUGGUUGUGUUGAUUUUAUCCUUCAACAAAAAAAAGUAGACCGCCCCGUCCAAGGAUAGCGGUCUACUUCUGACCAAACUCCGAAAGCCAACCGCUCUUAUAGCGGAUUGUACAUGGGAGUCGUGUUAGCGCACGGCUC
rnacentral:sRNA from 1 species